rnacentral:rRNA from 1 species
UACGUAGGGACCAAGCGUUGUUCGGAUUUACUGGGCGUAAAGGGCGCGUAGGCGGCGUAAUAAGUCACUUGUGAAAUCUCCGGGCUUAACUCGGAGCGGCCAAGUGAUACUGUUAGGCUAGAGUGCAGAAAGGGCAAUCGGAAUUCUUGGUGUAGCGGUGAAAUGCGUAGAUAUCAAGAGGAACACCUGAGGCGAAGGCGGGUUGCUAGGCGUGACACGUGACGCUGAGGCGCGAAAGCCAGGGGAGCGAACGGG